UUGGAGAGCCAACUUGUCAGAGACAGAGAGCAAAAACAGAUGUUUAAGCUACCCAUUGAAGACUUGCUGAUGCCUUCUGGAAUGUGGCAAAAUGUUUAAGGUGAUUACAGCCCAUGUUUCCCACUGAUGAAUGUGGCAGAAAACUGUUGCAGAUCAAUCUGCUGGAGAAUGACAAGUGCAGUGAAGAGAAGGAAAAUUUCAUACUUGUGUAUCACUACACAAAUCAGCUGAACUUGGAUUAUAAGAAUAGAGCAAAAGAAAGGAGUUUUGGAGGGGGAGAAAAGACAACUCAGCAUGAAGCAGGCCUCAGAUUUCCCACACUUCCACGAGAGGGCAAAACAAGCACCGAAACAAGAAUAGCCAUUCACGUGCUACAGGUGUUGGAAGAAAGAAGAUCAGUCUUACAAGCAGUAUGGAAAGGGAAACAAAUGGGCUUAGCUUGAGUUUUCUUCACUCUAAAAGGCCUGGAGAUGAUGGGAAGCU